UGCAGAAUCCCGUGAACCAUCGAGUCUUUGAACGCAAGUUGCGCCCCAAGCCUUUGGGUCGAGGGCACGUCUGCCUGGGUGUCACGC
rnacentral:rRNA from 1 species